AUUGAACGCUGGCGGGAGGCCUAACACAUGCAAGUCGAGCGGAGCGGCGGACGGGUGAGUAAUGUCUAGGAACCUGCCUGGUAGUGGGGGAUAACGACCCGAAAAGGGCGCUAAUACCGCAUACUAUCAGAUGAGCCUAGGUCGGAUUAGCUCGUUGGUGGGGUAAAGGCCUACCAAGGCGACGAUCCGUAACUGGUCUGAGAGGAUGAUCAGUCAAACUGGAACUGAGACACGGUCCAGACUCCUACGGGAGGCAGCAGUGGGGAAUAUUGGACAAUGGGCGAAAGCCUGAUCCAGCCAUGCCGCGUGUGUGAAGAAGGUCUUCGGAUUGUAAAGCACUUUAGGUUGGGAGGCGUUACCAACAGAAUAAGCACCGGCUAACUUCGUGCCAGCAGCCGCGGUAAUAC
rnacentral:rRNA from 1 species